GUCCCCGUAGCUUAUCCUAAAGCAUGACACUGAAGAUGUUAAGACGGUAUCUUUUACCCAGGGACA
rnacentral:tRNA from 1 species